rnacentral:rRNA from 1 species
UACUAUAUUUAAUAUUAACAUUACAUAUUUGAUUAUUAAUAGAUAUAUACUUUAAAUUCAAAGAAUUUGGCGGUAUUUUAGUCUUGUUAGAGGAACCUGUUUUAUAAUCGAUAAACCACGUAUAUCUUACUUAUUUUAAAUAAUUUGUAUACCGUCAUUAUUAGAUAACUUUCAAAAAAUUAGUUAUUAAAAUUAAUAAAAUUAAAUAUAUUAGAUCAAGGUGCAGUUAAUAAAUAAGAAAAAAUGGGUUACAAUAAAAUUUAUUUAAUAAACGAAUUAUAUAAAUGAAAAAAUAUAUGAAGGAGGAUUUAAUUGUAAUUUUUUUUUAUAAAAUAAUAAUAUGAUAGAAGCUCUAAAAUAUGUACAUAU